GAAAGGGUUAGCUCAGUGGUGGAGUGUGUGCUCAGCAUGCAUAAGGUCCUGGGUUCGAUCCCUAGUACUUUCA
rnacentral:tRNA from 1 species